UCAUAGGCAAUUGUGACCUAUACUGAGAGUAUAGCUGUUGUUUCAGUUAUUUAGAUGAUGUCAUAGAAGUAAUUAAUUAGCUCACUAAAAAACCUCAUGGGGCCAGGCGCAGUGGCUCACGCCUGCAAUCCCAGCACUUUGGGAGGCCGAGGUGGGCGGAUCACAAGGUCAGGAGAUCGAGACCAUCCUGGCUAACACGGUGAAACCCCGUCUCUACUAAAAAUACAAAAAAUUAGCCGGGCGUGGUGGCGGGCGCCUGUAGUCCCAGCUACUCGGGAGGCUGAGGC
rnacentral:lncRNA from 1 species